CCCCCUCUCUCUCUCUCUGACAGCUCUUCCCUCAGUGAUUUAUGGUCUUCUUCUCGGUUCACCUUGUCUGAAUGACGUGCUGAAUGACCUGCUGCUGUCCCCCCCGUCCUCCUUCAGAUGAGUCUGAUACGAGGUCGGCCCGCCUGCAGCCCUCAUGCUGUAUCAGUUUGCUUGAAGCAGCGGUGCAUGACUUUGUUGACAGACGCCGUGACAAGCGGCGAGGUCAUGGCAGCCUCGUGGCUCCAGGCUUUCCAGAACGUCAAGGCCCUCCUGUGUACCGCUCCGGUGUUAGCUCCUCCCUGUCUUGAGAAGCCAUUCAAGCCGCAGGUUGAUGCCAGCCACGCUGCGGCAGGUGCAGCAUUGAUGCAGUCUGAUCACCAGGGGGUGGAUAGGCCAGUGAGUUUUUUUUCGAGGAAGUUUAAUAAGCAAGCAUCAGCUGAAUUAUUCAGUAAUCGAAAAAGAGACUUUAGCUCUAGUGUUGGCCUUGUGUCAUUUUGAAAUGUAUGCAUGUUCGGGGGUGCCAGUUGUGGUCUUUACUGACCACAACCCGCUCACAUUCCUUAAUUCGUUAAAGCGUCCUAAUCAGAGGCUAAUGAGGUGGUCCCUGUUACAGUCCUAUUGUUUAGAUAUACAUCAUGUUAAGGGGUCAGAUAAUGUAGUGGCGGACGUG